rnacentral:rRNA from 1 species
ACGAACGCUGGCGGCGUGCCUCAUCCAUGCAAGUUGAGCGCUGAAGGUUGGUACUUGUACCGACUGGAUGAGCAGCGAACGGGUGAGUAACGCGUGGGGAAUCUGCCUUUGAGCGGGGGACAACAUUUGGAAACGAAUGCUAAUACCGCAUAAAAACUUUAAACACAAGUUUUAAGUUUGAAAGAUGCAAUUGCAUCACUCAAAGAUGAUCCCGCGUUGUAUUAGCUAGUUGGUGAGGUAAAGGCUCACCAAGGCGAUGAUACAUAGCCGACCUGAGAGGGUGAUCGGCCACAGUGGGACUGAGACACGGCCCAAACUCCUACGGGAGGCAGCAGUAGGGAAUCUUCGGCAAUGGACGAAAGUCUGACCGAGCAACGCCGCGUGAGUGAAGAAGGUUUUCGGAUCGUAAAACUCUGUUGGUAGAGAAGAACGUUGGUGAGAGUGGAAAGCUCAUCAAGUGACGGUAACUACCCAGAAAGGGACGGCUAACUACGUG